GUGCUAGUGAAACUGCCCUCAGAGCAGAAAUAAACUGUUGGCUCUCAAGUUUUUCCAGACUAACCGGACUGGCCAAUGCCUGAGGCUCUGUGUUCAAGAUAAAAGUGCCUAAGAAAGAAAAGUGCAGGAGAAAGAAUUGUGCCAUGAAAAAUGGAAAACUCCUGAGAAGCUGUUCCAGCGUCAGGAGAGCAGCAGACAAGCUGGACUGGGGAAGAUUCUUCCUGCAAGACCUGCAGAGUGUAUGACACAUAACCAGCACCCAAGAAAUGUCUACCGAGGAAUUAAUGAAUGAGCCAUCUUGUGAUCAUCUGGCAAGACAGCCCAAGAAUAAAGCCGUCACCAUGGAGACUAAGAAGAGACAGAAAGACACUGGGUCUUCAUUGUCUCGUCCAGCUGUUCAUGAGGCCUUAUCUGAAGCCCACGUGACCUCCGGACUACUCACUUACAUGAGAGAAUAAAGCUCUUUUUUGUUUAGACCAAAUAAAUACAUAAUACAAUUACA
rnacentral:lncRNA from 10 species